UACGUAGGGGGGCAAGCGUUGUCCGGAAUUAUUGGGCGUAAAGAGCGUGUAGGCGGUCCGGUAAGUCAGCUGUGAAAGUCAAGGGCUCAACCCUUGAAUGCCGGUUGAUACUGUCGGGCUAGAGUCCGGAAGAGGCGAGUGGAAUUCCCGGUGUAGCGGUGAAAUGCGCAGAUAUCGGGAGGAACACCAAUGGCGAAGGCAGCUCGCUGGGACGGUACUGACGCUGAGACGCGAAAGCGUGGGGAUCAAACAGG
rnacentral:rRNA from 1 species